AGCGUCAGCGGCGUUGGCUCGGCGAAGUGGACGAUGUCGCGGACUACGGUAUCGCGACACGUUAUCACUAUGCCGCAUCCGGCGUCGUCGUCGUGCACUUCUCCCCUAGUAGAACGUCGCGACCCGUUGGGUGCCGGUCUACGGCCCGAGGUGUAAGACUGUCGCGUCGCUUCGGCGCACGCGGCAGACCCUCGGUUUCCCGGCCGGCUGCCCGGCGGUAUAACGCACGGUAUCUGGCCGCAAUUUUUGAACUGCGUCGGGCCCGCGCAAGCGAGGCCAGUAUCCC
rnacentral:rRNA from 1 species